GUGGGGAAUAUUGGACAAUGGGCGAAAGCCUGAUCCAGCCAUGCCGCGUGUGUGAAGAAGGCCUUUUGGUUGUAAAGCACUUUAAGUGGGGAGGAAAAGCUUGUGGUUAAUACCCAUAAGCCCUGACGUUACCCACAGAAUAAGCACCGGCUAACUCUGUGCCAGCAGCCGCGGUAAUACAGAGGGUGCAAGCGUUAAUCGGAAUUACUGGGCGUAAAGCGCGCGUAGGUGGUUAUUUAAGUCAGAUGUGAAAGCCCCGGGCUUAACCUGGGAACUGCAUCUGAUACUGGAUAACUAGAGUAGGUGAGAGGGGAGUAGAAUUCCAGGUGUAGCGGUGAAAUGCGUAGAGAUCUGGAGGAAUACCGAUGGCGAAGGCAGCUCCCUGGCAUCAUACUGACACUGAGGUGCGAAAGCGUGGGUAGCAA
rnacentral:rRNA from 1 species